UACGGGGGAGCAAGCGUUGUUCGGAUUUACUGGGCGUAAAGGGCGCGUAGGCGGCCACCGCAAGUCGACUGUGAAAUCUCCGGGCUUAACCCGGAAAGGUCAGCCGAUACUGCGGGGCUGGAGUGCAGAAGGGGCAACUGGAAUUCUCGGUGUAGCGGUGAAAUGCGUAGAUAUCGAGAGGAACACCAAUUGCGAAGGCAGCUCGCUGGGACGUUACUGACGCUGAGACGCGAAAGCGUGGGGAGCAAACAGG
rnacentral:rRNA from 1 species